GGAGGCUUAGCUCAGCUGGUUAGAGCGUCCGCCUCACACGCGGAAGGUCGAUGGUUCGAGUCCAUUAGUCUCCACCA
rnacentral:tRNA from 1 species